rnacentral:tRNA from 1 species
GGAGAGGUAGCCUAGUGGACUAAGGCACUCGCCUGGAACGCGAGCAAGGGUCACACCUUCGUGGGUUCGAAUCCCACCCUCUCCGCCA